rnacentral:rRNA from 1 species
GACGAACGCUGGCGGCGUGCUUAACACAUGCAAGUCGAACGAUGAAGGAGAGCUUGCUCUCCGGAUUAGUGGCGAACGGGUGAGUAACACGUGACUAACCUGCCCCUUUCUCUGGGAUAACGCUCCGAAAGGAGUGCUAAUACCGGACACGAACUCUGAACACAUGUUCGGAGUUGGAAAGGUUUUCGGAAAGGGAUGGAGUCGCGGCCUAUCAGCUUGUUGGUGAGGUAACGGCUCACCAAGGCGAAGACGGGUAGCCGGCCUGAGAGGGCGACCGGCCACACUGGGACUGAGACACGGCCCAGACUCCUACGGGAGGCAGCAGUGGGGAAUAUUGCACAAUGGGCGAAAGCCUGAUGCAGCGACGCCGCGUGAGGGAUGAAGGUCUUCGGAUUGUAAACCUCUUUCAGUAGGGACGAAGCGAAAGUGACGGUACCUAAAGAAGAAGCACCGGCUAACUACGUGCCAGCCGCCGCAGUAA